AUUGAACGCUGGCGGCAGGCCUAACACAUGCAAGUCGAGCGCGAAAGUUCUUCGGAAUGAGUAAAGCGGCGGACGGGUGAGUAAUACAUGGGAAUCUGCCUGGUAGUGGGGGGACAACGUUUCGAAAGGAACGCUAAUACCGCAUACGCCCUACGGGGGAAAGGGGGGGAUCUUCGGACCUCUCGCUAUCAGAUGAGCCC
rnacentral:rRNA from 1 species